UACAGAGGUCUCAAGCGUUUGUCCGGAGUUACUGGGCGUAAAGGGUGCGCAGGCGGCGUUCCGCGUGGCGAGAUGAAAUCUCCUGGCUUACCUGGGAGGGUGGUCGCCAGACGGGAGCGCUUGAGGGUCGGAGAGGGGCGUGGAAUUCCGGGUGGAGCGGUGAAAUGCGUAGAGAUCCGGAGGAACACCGACGGCGUAGGGCAGCGCCC
rnacentral:rRNA from 1 species